GAUGAACGCUGGCGGCGUGCCUAAUACAUGCAAGUCGAACGAGGCCCUCUUCCUUCGGGAGGAGGUGUCCUAGCGGCGAACGGGUGAGUAACGCGUUGGUGACCUGCCCCGAAGAGGGGGAUAACCCCGCGAAAGCGGGGCUAAUACCCCAUAGUGUCGUAAAGGUUAGAGACUAUACGACUAAAGGAGCAAUCCACUUCGGGAGGGGCCUGCGUCCCAUCAGCUAGUUGGUAAGGUAACGGCCUACCAAGGCGAAGACGGGUAGGGGGCCUGAGAGGGUGGCCCCCCACACUGGCACUGAAACGCGGGCCAGACACCUACGGGUGGCAGCAGUAGGGAAUAUUGCACAAUGGGCGAAAGCCUGAUGCAGCAACGCCGCGUGCGCGAAGAAGGCCUUCGGGUUGUAAAGCGCUUUUCUGGAGGAAGAGGAAGGACGGUACUCCAGGAAUAAGGAUCGGCUAACUACGUG
rnacentral:rRNA from 1 species